GUAGACAGGUGUGUCACCAGGCUGUAGCUCCAGCUGUUUGUUUAGGGACAUCAGUAGUGAAUGAUGGCCAAUUGCCUGGACUAUCUCCCAGAUGAGCAACAUGCAGCCUAACGGGCUAAAAGACUAUGCAGGUCAGGAAUCCCGUCCAUCUGGAAAAAGCUUCCGUAAUUGCCAGAAGGUCCCUGGGGUUUCUGGGGACCCAGGACACAGAAGUUCAAAGUCAACUUGACAGUCUUCUCCUAGAUAUUCAUAUGGAGUUUCUGUCAUCGAGCCAAAAUGGAGAACUGUGUGUUGUAAUCGUGCAGGGCCUGGAAACUGCUGCAGCCACUUUAGAAGGGGCUGCUGAACUGCAAACGGCCUCAGUCUAUUCCACAGGACACCUCUUCAUUCUGUCUCUGAGGAACCCCAAGGCUGUUGCUAACAGUGAGUGGAGCCUGAAAGAAAAGUGGAAGCUCUCAACCGGCCAGAAUAAUCUGAAUUAACUGCAGGACAGAUCCCAAAUGCUCAUGGGAAGGUUUUGGUUUUUUGUUCUUUCGUUUCUGGGGAUAGUCUAAUGGAAUGUUUAUAACAACAACAAAAUGAGUAAUUAAUAAAUGAAGACUCAAUGAAUGGCA
rnacentral:lncRNA from 1 species